rnacentral:rRNA from 1 species
AUUGAACGCUGGCGGCAUGCCUUACACAUGCCAGUCGAACGGCAGCAUGAUCCAGCUUGCUAGAUUGAUGGCGAGUGGCGAACGGGUGAGUAAUACAUCGGAACGUGCCCUGUAGUGGGGGAUAACUAGUCGAAAGAUUAGCUAAUACCGCAUACGACCUGAGGGUGAAAGUGGGGGACCGCAAGGCCUCAUGCUAUAGGAGCGGCCGAUGUCUGAUUAGCUAGUUGGUGAGGUAAAGGCUCACCAAGGCGACGAUCAGUAGCUGGUCUGAGAGGACGAUCAGCCACACUGGGACUGAGACACGGCCCAGACUCCUACGGGAGGCAGCAGUGGGGAAUUUUGGACAAUGGGCGAAAGCCUGAUCCAGCAAUGCCGCGUGUGUGAAGAAGGCCUUCGGGUUGUAAAGCACUUUUGUCCGGAAAGAAAUGGCUCUGGUUAAUACCUGGGGUCGAUGACGGUACCGGAAGAAUAAGGACCGGCUAACUACGUG